rnacentral:rRNA from 1 species
GGAUACGUUCGUUGGGUAGGGGAGCGUUCUGUAAGCCUGCGAAGGUGGCCUGUGAGGGUUGCUGGAGGUAUCAGAAGUGCGAAUGCUGACAUAAGUAACGAUAAUGCGGGUGAAAAACCCGCACGCCGGAAGACCAAGGGUUCCUGUCCAACGUUAAUCGGGGCAGGGUGAGUCGACCCCUAAGGCGAGGCCGAAAGGCGUAGUCGAUGGGAAACAGGUUAAUAUUCCUGUACUUGGUGUUACUGCGAAGGGGGGACGGAGAAGGCUAUGUUAGCCGGGCGACGGUUGUCCCGGUUUAAGCAUGUAGGCGGAGGUUCCAGGUAAAUCCGGUACCUUUUAACGCUGAGGUGUGAUGACGAGGCACUACGGUGCUGAAG